AGUGAACGCUGGCGGUAGGCCUAACACAUGCAAGUCGAACGGCAGCACAGUAAGGGCUUGCUCUUACGGGUGGCGAGUGGCGGACGGGUGAGGAAUACAUCGGAAUCUACUUUUUCGUGGGGGAUAACGUAGGGAAACUUACGCUAAUACCGCAUACGACCUACGGGUGAAAGCAGGGGAUCUUCGGACCUUGCGCGAUUGAAUGAGCCGAUGUCGGAUUAGCUAGUUGGCGGGGUAAAGGCCCACCAAGGCGACGAUCCGUAGCUGGUCUGAGAGGAUGAUCAGCCACACUGGAACUGAGACACGGUCCAGACUCCUACGGGAGGCAGCAGUGGGGAAUAUUGGACAAUGGGCGCAAGCCUGAUCCAGCCAUACCGCGUGGGUGAAGAAGGCCUUCGGGUUGUAAAGCCCUUUUGUUGGGAAAGAAAAGCAGCAGGUUAAUACCCCACUGUUCUGACGGUACCCAAAGAAUAAGCACCGGCUAACUUCGUG
rnacentral:rRNA from 1 species